GAUGAACGCUGGCGGCGUGCCUAAUACAUGCAAGUCGAGCGAACAGACGAGAGUGCUUGCACUCUCUGACGUUAGCGGCGGACGGGAGAGUAACACGUGGGUAACCGACCGAUAAGACUGGGAUAACUUCGUGAAACCGGAGCUAAUACCGGAUAAUAUUUAGCUUCGCAUGAAGCAAUAUUGCAAGACGGUUCUGCUGUCACUCAUAGAUGGACCCGCGGUGUAUUAGGUAGUUGGUGGGGUAACGGCUCACCAAGGCAACGAUCCAUAGCCGGCCUGAGAGGGUGAUCGGCCACACUGGGACUGAGACACGGCCCAGACUCCUACGGGAGGCAGCAGUAGGGAAUCUUCCGCAAUGGACGAAAGUCUGACGGAGCAAUGCCGCGUGAGUGAAGAAGGUUUUCGGAUCGUAAAACUCUGUUGUAAGGGAAGAACAAGUACGUUAGUAACUGAACGUACCUUGACGGUACCGUAACAGAAAGCCACGGCUAACUACGUG
rnacentral:rRNA from 1 species